ACUAUCCAUCUUUUUCUUCUUUCAAAUCUCAUUUACAAAGGUUUAGCUUUAUGAAAAGCAGUACAGUUUUUCAAACAAAAGCUACUGUAAGCAACAUACACACAGAAAAUAUUUGGAUUACCACAUAUUUUGGCAACAGGAGUCAAUCCAUAUUUGUAAACUUAGAAAUGGAAAAGUUUUAUUAUUUUGUCAUUUUUUUCCUGUUUUUGCAAUGUCCAGUAGAAAGGAGAUUCAGAUCAGAGACAUUAUGCAAACACAGGAGGAGCCAGUGUUCACAGAAGCCUCUGAGAAACUAAGACAACAGUGGUCUUGGAAAGGAACUCAGACCUGGAGUCAUCAGCCCACAAAGUGAAGAUCCAGUUCAAGACUGUAUCUAAAGAAUCUGAAGGUGCACAAGUACAUGGGACCCAUCCACAGGUACAUGAGAUCCAUCCACAGGUUCUAAGGGAACUGGUGCAUGAAGUUAUCAAGCUGCUAUCUAUUGUUCUCACUGAUUAGAAAACAGGGAAAAUGACCCUCACUUUCAAGAAGGAAAAAGAAGAAGAUCCAGGGAACUGCAGGCUAGUCUCACUUCUGUGCCUGGUGAGAUCAUGGAGCAGAUCCUCCUGAAGGCCCUACUAAGGCACAUAGAAAAUAAAGACAAGGUGAUUGGUGGUAACCAACGUGGCUUCACCAAGGGUAAGACAUGCCUGACAGACUGGGUGGUCUUUUAUGAUGGAGUUAUAACGUCAAUGGAUAAAGGAAGAGCAAAUCACAUCAUCUACCUGGACUGGUGCAAAGUACUUGAUAUCCCGGUUGCCAAAUUGGAGAAAAACUGGAUUUGAUGGAUGGACCACUUGCUGGAUAAGGAACUGGCUGUAUGGUUGCACUAAGAGAGAGAGUUGCAGUCAACAGCUCAAUGUCCAAGUGAAGACCAGUGACAAGUGUUGUUCCUCAGGGAUCAGUGCUGGAACUGGUAUUAUUUAGCAUCUCGGUAGGUGAGAUGCGCAGUGGAAUUGAGUGUACAUUCAGCAGGUUUGCAGAUGACACCAAA
ensembl:lncRNA